ACGAGUGGGCCAUAUAUAUAUAUGGGCACAUCAUCCUUUCCCCAUCAUUUGCAGUCCGUUCAUUUCAAAACUGUUGCUGUCUCCCUCCACACCACAACUGGUCCUUGCAGGUAAAGAAGGCGAUCAAGCGUCUAGAAACAUCUCAUGGCUCGGCUUUGGCAAAUUGUAUUGCAAAAAAUUCUAGGACCUCCAGCUUGGGCGUUUAGAAGAGCUGCGAGACGACUACAGCUGAUGAUUCUCCAAUAUGAGAUGGAUGGCCUGAAUCCCGAGUAUGUUCUGCCAGAAAAGCUUGGCAAGUUCUAUGCAUGAAAUAAAAGUCAAUAGAAAUGAUAAAUAACGCCAAGAAGAAUUUGUUUCUUCUUCUUCUUCUUCGUUGUACAGCAUUAAUGGAGUUUAAUUCUCAGACAGAGUUAUGUGUCUUUUCUAGCUACUAUAGUGCUACUGUAUGGGUGGAUUCCCGUGAUCCGCGUUCGGCAGCAACACCAUUUUUCUUUUUGGGUUUAAGACAAAAUUGUCUACUCAUUGCAAUAAAGAAGAAGGGGAAAUGGUCAAUUUAGUCCUCCGACAUUUUAACUC